GGGGAGAUGGCCGAGCGGUCAAAGGCAGCAGACUGUAAAUCUGCCGACGGAAUGUCUACGGGGGUUCGAAUCCUCCUCUCCCCA
rnacentral:tRNA from 1 species